rnacentral:rRNA from 1 species
AACGAACGCUGGCGGCAGGCUUAACACAUGCAAGUCGAACGCAUCCUUCGGGAUGAGUGGCAGACGGGUGAGUAACACGUGGGAACCUACCCAAAGGUACGGAAUAACACAGGGAAACUUGUGCUAAUACCGUAUGUGCCCUUCGGGGGAAAGAUUUAUCGCCUUUGGAUGGGCCCGCGUCGGAUUAGCUAGUUGGUGGGGUAAUGGCCUACCAAGGCGACGAUCCGUAGCUGGUCUGAGAGGAUGAUCAGCCACACUGGGACUGAGACACGGCCCAGACUCCUACGGGAGGCAGCAGUGGGGAAUAUUGGACAAUGGGCGCAAGCCUGAUCCAGCCAUGCCGCGUGAGUGAUGAAGGCCUUAGGGUUGUAAAGCUCUUUCAGCUGGGAAGAUAAUGACGGUACCAGCAGAAGAAGCCCCGGCUAACUUCGUGCCAGCCGCCGCCGUAACAC